GACGAACGCUGGCGGCGUGCUUAACACAUGCAAGUCGAACGGAAAGGCCCUUCGGGGUCCUCGAGUGGCGAACGGGUGAGUAACACGUGGGUGAUCUGCCCUGCACUUUGGGAUAAGCCUGGGAAACUGGGUCUAAUACCGAAUAGGACCACGCGCUUCAUGGUGUGUGGUGGAAAGCUUUUGCGGUGUGGGAUGGGCCCGCGGCCUAUCAGCUUGUUGGUGGGGUAAUGGCAUACCAAGGCGACGACGGGUAGCCGGCCUGAGAAGGUGACCGGCCACACUGGGACUGAGAUACGGCCCAGACUCGUACGGGAGGCAGCAGUGGGGAAUAUUGCACAAUGGGCGCAAGCCUGAUGCAGCGACGCCGCGUGAGGGAUGACGGCCUUCGGGUUGUAAACCUCUUUCAAUAGGGACGAAGCGCAAGUGACGGUACCUAUAGAAGAAGCACCGGCCAACUACGUG
rnacentral:rRNA from 1 species